rnacentral:rRNA from 1 species
AGUCGACGAUGAAGCCCAGCUUGCUGGGUGGAUUAGUGGCGAACGGGUGAGUAACACGUGAGUAACCUGCCCUUGACUCUGGGAUAAGCGCUGGAAACGGCGUCUAAUACCGGAUACGACCUGCCCCGGCAUCGGGUGUGGGUGGAAAGUUUUUCGGUCAAGGAUGGACUCGCGGCCUAUCAGGUAGUUGGUGAGGUAAUGGCUCACCAAGCCGACGACGGGUAGCCGGCCUGAGAGGGUGACCGGCCACACUGGGACUGAGACACGGCCCAGACUCCUACGGGAGGCAGCAGUGGGGAAUAUUGCACAAUGGGCGAAAGCCUGAUGCAGCAACGCCGCGUGGGGGAUGACGGCCUUCGGGUUGUAAACCUCUUUUAGUAGGGAAGAAGGGCUUCGGCUUGACGGUACCUGCAGAAAAAGCACCGGCUAACUACGUGCCAGCAGCCGCGGUAAUACGUAGGGUGCAAGCGUUGUCCGGAAUUAUUGGGCGUAAAGAGCUCGUAGGCGGUUUGUCGCGUCUGCUGUGAAAACCCGAGGCUCAACCUCGGGCCUGCAGUGGGUACGGGCAGACUAGAGUGCGGUAGGGGAGAAUGGAAUUCCUGGUGUAGCGGUGGAAUGCGCAGAUAUCAGGAGGAACACCGAUGGCGAAGGCAGUUCUCUGGGCCGUUACUGACGCUGAGGAGCGAAAGCGUGGGAGCGAACAGGAUUAGAUACCCUGGUAGUCCACGCCGUAAACGUUGGGAACUAGAUGUGGGGACCUUUCCACGGUCUCCGUGUCGCAGCUAACGCAUUAAGUUCCCCGCCUGGGGAGUACGGCCGCAAGGCUAAAACUCAAAGGAAUUGACGGGGGCCCGCACAAGCGGCGGAGCAUGCGGAUUAAUUCGAUGCAACGCGAAGAACCUUACCAAGGCUUGACAUAUACCGGAAACUUCCAGAAAUGGUUGCCCCGCAAGGUCGGUAUACAGGUGGUGCAUGGUUGUCGUCAGCUCGUGUCGUGAGAUGUUGGGUUAAGUCCCGCAACGAGCGCAACCCUCGUUCUAUGUUGCCAGCACGUCAUGGUGGGAACUCAUAGGAGACUGCCGGGGUCAACUCGGAGGAAGGUGGGGAUGACGUCAAAUCAUCAUGCCCCUUAUGUCUUGGGCUUCACGCAUGCUACAAUGGCCGGUACAAAGGGCUGCGAUACCGUAAGGUGGAGCGAAUCCCAAAAAGCCGGUCUCAGUUCGGAUUGAGGUCUGCAACUCGACCUCAUGAAGUCGGAGUCGCUAGUAAUCGCAGAUCAGCAACGCUGCGGUGAAUACGUUCCCGGGCCUUGUACACACCGCCCGUCAAGUCAUGAAAGUCGGUAACACCCGAAGCCAGUGGCCUAACUCGCAAGGAGUA